rnacentral:lncRNA from 1 species
AAAAAAAUUUUCUAUAAGAAAAAUGAAGAAUCAGAGAGAAAAGAAGAAUAUGAUUGUAACGAUCCAGCCCACUAGCAACAACAACUCGUUGGGCCUAAAUACGAGCACAAAAUGCUUAAGCUCAGUUAUUAUUACUAGUGUCUAAGUCUUUUAUAUACCCAAUCACAUCCUUAUUCUUAUCCAAUGUGGGAUUAUUCUGACGUCCUCGUCAGUCCAAUCACACACACAGCCCAAGAUCACCAG